UUUGUACUUCCUCCGUCCCCAAAUUCUUGUCUUAAAUUUAUUUAAAUACGGAUGUAUCAAGUCACGUUUUAGUAUUAAAUACAUCCGUAUCUAGACAAAUCUAAGACAAUAAUUUUAGGACGCGGGAGUAGUAA
rfam:Triticum aestivum genome assembly, contig: Triticum_aestivum_CS42_TGACv1_scaffold_221646_3B